CACGGUGGAUGCCCUGGCAGUCAGAGGCGAUGAAGGACGUGCUAAUCUGCGAUAAGCGUCGGUAAGGUGAUAUGAACCGUUAUAACCGGCGAUUUCCGAAUGGGGAAACCCAGUGUGAUUCGUCACACUAUCAUUAACUGAAUCCAUAGGUUAAUGAGGCGAACCGGGGGAACUGAAACAUCUAAGUACCCCGAGGAAAAGAAAUCAACCGAGAUUCCCCCAGUAGCGGCGAGCGAACGGGGAGCAGCCCAGAGCCUGAAUCAGUGUGUGUGUUAGUGGAAGCGUCUGGAAAGGCGCGCGAUACAGGGUGACAGCCCCGUACACAAAAAUGCACAUACUGUGAGCUCGAUGAGUAGGGCGGGACACGUGGUAUCCUGUCUGAAUAUGGGGGGACCAUCCUCCAAGGCUAAAUACUCCUGACUGACCGAUAGUGAACCAGUACCGUGAGGGAAAGGCGAAAAGAACCCCGGCGAGGGGAGUGAAAAAGAACCUGAAACCGUGUACGUACAAGCAGUGGGAGCACGCUUAGGCGUGUGACUGCGUACCUUUUGUAUAAUGGGUCAGCGACUUAUAUUCUGUAGCAAGGUUAACCGAAUAGGGGAGCCGAAGGGAAACCGAGUCUUAACUGGGCGUUAAGUUGCAGGGUAUAGACCCGAAACCCGGUGAUCUAGCCAUGGGCAGGUUGAAGGUUGGGUAACACUAACUGGAGGACCGAACCGACUAAUGUUGAAAAAUUAGCGGAUGACUUGUGGCUGGGGGUGAAAGGCCAAUCAAACCGGGAGAUAGCUGGUUCUCCCCGAAAGCUAUUUAGGUAGCGCCUCGUGAAUUCAUCUCCGGGGGUAGAGCACUGUUUCGGCAAGGGGGUCAUCCCGACUUACCAACCCGAUGCAAACUGCGAAUACCGGAGAAUGUUAUCACGGGAGACACACGGCGGGUGCUAACGUCCGUCGUGAAGAGGGAAACAACCCAGACCGCCAGCUAAGGUCCCAAAGUCAUGGUUAAGUGGGAAACGAUGUGGGAAGGCCCAGACAGCCAGGAUGUUGGCUUAGAAGCAGCCAUCAUUUAAAGAAAGCGUAAUAGCUCACUGGUCGAGUCGGCCUGCGCGGAAGAUGUAACGGGGCUAAACCAUGCACCGAAGCUGCGGCAGCGACGCUUAUGCGUUGUUGGGUAGGGGAGCGUUCUGUAAGCCUGCGAAGGUGUGCUGUGAGGCAUGCUGGAGGUAUCAGAAGUGCGAAUGCUGACAUAAGUAACGAUAAAGCGGGUGAAAAGCCCGCUCGCCGGAAGACCAAGGGUUCCUGUCCAACGUUAAUCGGGGCAGGGUGAGUCGACCCCUAAGGCGAGGCCGAAAGGCGUAGUCGAUGGGAAACAGGUUAAUAUUCCUGUACUUGGUGUUACUGCGAAGGGGGGACGGAGAAGGCUAUGUUGGCCGGGCGACGGUUGUCCCGGUUUAAGCGUGUAGGCUGGUUUUCCAGGCAAAUCCGGAAAAUCAAGGCUGAGGCGUGAUGACGAGGCACUACGGUGCUGAAGCAACAAAUGCCCUGCUUCCAGGAAAAGCCUCUAAGCAUCAGGUAACAUCAAAUCGUACCCCAAACCGACACAGGUGGUCAGGUAGAGAAUACCAAGGCGCUUGAGAGAACUCGGGUGAAGGAACUAGGCAAAAUGGUGCCGUAACUUCGGGAGAAGGCACGCUGAUAUGUAGGUGAAGUCCCUCGCGGAUGGAGCUGAAAUCAGUCGAAGAUACCAGCUGGCUGCAACUGUUUAUUAAAAACACAGCACUGUGCAAACACGAAAGUGGACGUAUACGGUGUGACGCCUGCCCGGUGCCGGAAGGUUAAUUGAUGGGGUCAGCGCAAGCGAAGCUCUUGAUCGAAGCCCCGGUAAACGGCGGCCGUAACUAUAACGGUCCUAAGGUAGCGAAAUUCCUUGUCGGGUAAGUUCCGACCUGCACGAAUGGCGUAAUGAUGGCCAGGCUGUCUCCACCCGAGACUCAGUGAAAUUGAACUCGCUGUGAAGAUGCAGUGUACCCGCGGCAAGACGGAAAGACCCCGUGAACCUUUACUAUAGCUUGACACUGAACAUUGAGCCUUGAUGUGUAGGAUAGGUGGGAGGCUUUGAAGUGUGGACGCCAGUCUGCAUGGAGCCGACCUUGAAAUACCACCCUUUAAUGUUUGAUGUUCUAACGUGGACCCGUAAUCCGGGUUGCGGACAGUGUCUGGUGGGUAGUUUGACUGGGGCGGUCUCCUCCUAAAGAGUAACGGAGGAGCACGAAGGUUGGCUAAUCCUGGUCGGACAUCAGGAGGUUAGUGCAAUGGCAUAAGCCAGCUUGACUGCGAGCGUGACGGCGCGAGCAGGUGCGAAAGCAGGUCAUAGUGAUCCGGUGGUUCUGAAUGGAAGGGCCAUCGCUCAACGGAUAAAAGGUACUCCGGGGAUAACAGGCUGAUACCGCCCAAGAGUUCAUAUCGACGGCGGUGUUUGGCACCUCGAUGUCGGCUCAUCACAUCCUGGGGCUGAAGUAGGUCCCAAGGGUAUGGCUGUUCGCCAUUUAAAGUGGUACGCGAGCUGGGUUUAGAACGUCGUGAGACAGUUCGGUCCCUAUCUGCCGUGGGCGCUGGAGAAUUGAGGGGGGCUGCUCCUAGUACGAGAGGACCGGAGUGGACGCAUCACUGGUGUUCGGGUUGUCAUGCCAAUGGCACUGCCCGGUAGCUAAAUGCGGAAGAGAUAAGUGCUGAAAGCAUCUAAGCACGAAACUUGCCCCGAGAUGAGUUCUCCCUGACUCCUUGAGAGUCCUGAAGGAACGUUGAAGACGACGACGUUGAUAGGCCGGGUGUGUAAGCGCAGCGAUGCGUUGAGCUAACCGGUACUAAUGAACCGUGAGGCUUAACCUU
rnacentral:rRNA from 1 species